rnacentral:rRNA from 1 species
CAUUAUCGAGUUUUGAACGGGUUGUAGCUGGCCUCAUACUGUGGCAUGUGCACGCCUGUCUUCAUCCACUCUUCAACCUCUGUGCACUUAUUGUAGGCUGGUGAAGGGUCGCAUAGUAAUGUGCGGCUUGAAGCCUGGUCUACGUUUUACUACAAACGCUUCAGUUAUAGAAUGUCUAUCUGCGUAUAACGCAUUUAAUAUACAACUUUCAGCAACGGAUCUCUUGGCUCUCGCAUCGAUGAAGAACGCAGCGAAAUGCGAUAAGUAAUGUGAAUUGCAGAAUUCAGUGAAUCAUCGAAUCUUUGAACGCACCUUGCGCUCCCUGGUAUUCCGGGGAGCAUGCCUGUUUGAGUGUCAUGGAAUUCUCAACUUCUAAUACUUUUUUGUAUCAGAAGCUUGGAUUUGGAGGCUCGUGCUGGCUCUCUCGUUAGAGUCGGCUCCUCUUAAAUGAAUUAGCGUGAAUCACUAUGGAUCGCUUCGGUGUGAUAAUUAUCUGCGCCGUAGUCGUGAAGUAUUAAUAAAAGUUCUCGCUUCUAAUCGUCCUUCACGGGACAAUUAACCCUGACUUUUUGAC